GAUGAACGCUGGCGGCGUGCCUAAUACAUGCAAGUCGAGCGAACGGACGAGAAGCUUGCUUCUCUGAUGUUAGCGGCGGGCGGGUGAGUAACACGUGGAUAACCUACCUAUAAGACUGGGAUAACUUCGGGAAACCGGAGCUAAUACCGGAUAAUAUUUUGAACCGCAUGGUUCAAAAGUGAAAGACGGUCUUGCUGUCACUUAUAGAUGGAUCCGCGCUGCAUUAGCUAGUUGGUAUGGUAACGGCUUACCAAGGCAACGAUGCAUAGCCGACCUGAGAGGGUGAUCGGCCACACUGGAACUGAGACUCGGUCCAGACUCCUACGGGAGGCAGCAGUAGGGAAUCUUCCGCAAAGGGCGAAAGCCUGACGGAGCAACGCCGCGUGAGUGAUGAAGGUCUUCGGAUCGUAAAACUCUGUUAUUAGGGAAGAACAUAUGUGUAAGUAACUGUGCACAUCUUGACGGUACCUAAUCAGAAAGCCACGGCUAACUACGUG
rnacentral:rRNA from 1 species